CAGGGGUUACUCAAGGAAAAUGCAAAUGGUAGCAAAUAUUGGGCAUAUGGAGGUGACUUUGGAGAUACACCAAAUGACUUAAAUUUCUGCUUAAAUGGUCUCAUAUGGCCUGAUCGGACUCCUCAUCUUGCUCUAAAUGAGGUCAUGUAUUGCUAUCAACCAAUUAAAAUUUCGUUCACCAAUGGCGUAAUUAAGAUUACAAACACCAAUUUCUUUCAAACAACAGAAGAUCUAGAGUUUAAUUGGGUUAUUGAAGGUGAUGGAUGUAAACUUGAUUCUGGAACUCCCAGUCUACCAACAUUAGAGUUUAAUUGGGUGAUUGAAGGUGAUUUUGGUUCUUGAAACGAGCUAGACUCAAGAUAUCAUAUUUUGGCAUGGCUAGAAGCUUUAGAGGAAACGAGACUC